AUUGAACGCUGGCGGCAGGCCUAACACAUGCAAGUCGAGCGGUAGAGAGGUGCUUGCAUCUCUUGAGAGCGGCGGACGGGUGAGUAAUGCCUAGGAAUCUGCCUAGUGGUGGGGGAUAACGUUCGGAAACGGACGCUAAUACCGCAUACGUCCUACGGGAGAAAGCGGGGGGAUCUUCGGACCUCGCGCCAUUAGAUGAGCCUAGGUCGGAUUAGCUAGUUGGUGAGGUAAUGGCUCACCAAGGCGACGAUCCGUAACUGGUCUGAGAGGAUGAUCAGUCACACUGGAACUGAGACACGGUCCAGACUCCUACGGGAGGCAGCAGUGGGGAAUAUUGGACAAUGGGCGAAAGCCUGAUCCAGCCACGCCGCGUGUGUGAAGAAGGUCUUCGGAUUGUAAAGCACUUUAAGUUGGGAGGAAGGGCAGUAAGUUAAUACCUUGCUGUUUGACGUUACCAACAGAAUAAGCACCGGCUAACUUCGUGCCAGCA
rnacentral:rRNA from 1 species